rnacentral:rRNA from 1 species
UUAUUAUGAGAGUUUGAUCCUGGCUCAGGACGAACGCUGGCGGCGUGCCUAAUACAUGCAAGUCGAACGCUUCUUUUCUACCGAGUGCUUGCACUCAUUUGAAAAGAGGAGUGGCGGACGGGUGAGUAACACGUGGGUAACCUACCCAUCAGAGGGGGAUAACACUUGGAAACAGGUGCUAAUACCGCAUAAUA